rnacentral:rRNA from 1 species
CCUACGGGUGGCUGCAGUGGGGAAUAUUGGACAAUGGGGGGAACCCUGAUCCAGCCAUGCCGCGUGUGUGAAGAAGGCCCUCGGGUUGUAAAGCACUUUCAGUGAGGAAGAACGCCUGGUGGUUAAUACCCAUCAGGAAAGACAUCACUCACAGAAGAAGCACCGGCUAACUCCGUGCCAGCAGCCGCGGUAAUACGGAGGGUGCGAGCGUUAAUCGGAAUUACUGGGCGUAAAGCGCGCGUAGGUGGCUUGAUAAGCCGGUUGUGAAAGCCCCGGGCUCAACCUGGGAACGGCAUCCGGAACUGUCAAGCUAAAGUGCAGGAGAGGAAGGUAGAAUUCCCGGUGUAGCGGUGAAAUGCGUAGAGAUCGGGAGGAAUACCAGUGGCGAAGGCGGCCUUCUGGACUGACACUGACACUGAGGUGCGAAAGCGUGGGUAGCAAACAGGAUUAGAUACCCUUGUAGUC